rnacentral:rRNA from 1 species
AUACGGAGGGUCCAAGCGUUAUCCGGCUUCAUUGGGUUUAAAGGGUCCGCAGGCGGGAAAAUAAGUCAGUGGUGCCCGCCUACAGCUCACCUGUAGAACUGCCCUUGAUACUGUUUUUCUUGCGUAUAGCUGCCGUGGGCGGAAUAUAUCAUGUAGCGGUGAAAUGCAGAGAUAUGAGAGAGAACACCGAUUGCGAAGGCAGCGCACGAAACUAUUACUGACGCUCAGGGACGAAAGCGUGGGGAGCGAACAGGAUUAGAAACACUAGUAGUCA